CCUAUGAAUCUUUUGGACAAAAUUUUGAAAUUAAUAAAUCUGGUUAUUUAUAAGAAUAUUGUCUACCAUUUCUAAAUUAUUAUUAUUUUUUUUUGAGAGAUAGGUAGCACGCUACCUGCUUUGUUUAUUUCAUUAAGAAAUACACUUAGCUGGAAAUGUGAAUCAAUUAGAAUUCGAACUUGGGACCUCGGGUACCAACCACCAAGUCCUUUGCCACUUGCUCUAAGGACGGUCGGUUCCAUUUCUAAAUUAUUGAAAUCAAUAAUGAUAAACCUAGCAUCGCCUCCAUUAUUUGUACCGAAGGCAUCUUCUACGGCAAGCCAAAGUUUUUUGAUAGUUUGUAUUUCCUAAUAAGUUUCAUACAGUUCAUGUAACGACCCAGCCCACUAGCAAUAAUAACUCGUUGGGCCUAUCCAACAGCCCAAAAUGCUUAAGCCCAGUUAUUAUUACUAGUGUCUAAGUCUCUUAUAAACCCAAUGACAACCCCAUUCCCAUCCGAUGUGGGACUAUUGGGGUGUCACAGU
rnacentral:lncRNA from 1 species